UUCGUUGCUCCUCCUGCACUUCCGCUACACUGGUCAGGCACGCAAGAGUGCAGGAGCGAUCGAGAAAGUUUCCAACUUUCAGGUCUACAAAGUUCCAAAUGAAUGGUUGCGGAGCUGGGUCAUCUGCGGUACAUCUUCUUCCUCGCUUGUGUCGGCGCUUCAGAUCGGACGCUGCUCUGGAAGCCAUAGCCAGAGCCCGCGACGAGCGAGUCCCGAAUCUCGCGCUCUACAAUUACCCAUCAUUCUCGGGUGCAUUCUCCGCUCUCUUCGCUCGCCUCUUCCACUCUCGCCUCCGCGUGCCUUGCCUCGUUUUGCCUUUCUCUUCUGUUGAACCCUUCAGAGUUGAGGAUUUGCAUAUCGCCGGACUGGAAAAAUGUUAUCUUCUUGACUUUCUUGGCCCAAAAGGAUUUGCAGCGAAGCUUGCACAGCAAUCUUUCUGCAAGAUAAUUGCAUUUGAGCACAGAAAGUCAGCUUUUUCACAUACUUCUGCCAAAGAGGAUUGCCCUGAGAACCUUGUUGUCCAUUUCAGUACUGAGAAGAGCAGCGCAACUGCUGUGUAUGAGUACUUUUCUGCUCAACUUGCGGAAAACAGAUCUACUAAUACGGAGCCGGGUCUUUUAGACCCCCAGGAUCAAGAGCGCAUGGAGAUGGUACUUAAGUAUAUUGAAGAUGGAGAUCUUCGCCAUUGGACCUUACCGGACAUCAAGGCUUUUAAUAUCGGAUUGAGUGAGAGGCGCUCAAAGUUAAAUUGCAUCACUAAUCCUUUCAUGUACGAACAGUUAUUGGAUAUAAGUGCUGCGGAUUUGAUUGCUAAAGGAAAUGCUUACAGCACUGCUAGACAGAACUCUGCAUCUAAGUUUCUGGAGAAAGUUUUUAAAGUUCGAUUAGGCAGGGGGCUUUAUGGGGAAUGUCUGGGAAUCAGGGCUGAUGGGAUUUCUGAUUUAAGCGAUGAAAUUGGCAAGCAAUUAAGUGUAAAGAGUGCAGCAUCGGGCUUGAGGCCUAUUGGAGCUGUGGCUUACAUGCAGCGGAAUAACCUGAAGAUGAGUUUGAGAAGCACUGAUGAUGCAACUGAUACUUCAGAAGUUGCAAAGGCAUAUGGUGGAGGCGGUACCCCCGCUUCUAGUUCCUUUAUCAUAAGGAUGGAUGAGUAUAAUCACUGGCUUUCAGUGAAUUCACCCUGAGUACAUAUUGUCAAUGUCUCUUGGACGAUGGUUGGUGCUCUAGUCAGCUGAUUAAGAGGCAUAAAUCCCACAAGGUUCAGCUAUAUCAGUGAUGAUACUAAUGGGAAGGGUGAACACAAAUGCAAGAGCACUAGCAAAGAGAAGCCCCCACCAUGGCAUUUGGACCUGAUCAUUCAGGAAGAUGCAUAGAGCAAGAGAUACCACCAGACUUACAACGAGCAACAAGGGAAACCACCACGAGGGUAUGUCUUUGUAUCGCCUCAUCAAUUUUGUAUGGAUAUCUGCCUUCCCUUUGUGAGAAGCACGAUAGCGCUCGUAGAUCUCUCUGUUGAAUGUUAUUGUAUAUCAUUGUCUAUGUGUCACAUGAAUUCUAGAAAAUCAUGUACUUUACAGGAAAAAAAAAUACUAUUCUGAUUCUUUAGAGUUUUUUCAUUAUCUAGGUGUUACGUCUCUGUGUUAUAACUAUAAGGAUCACCUUAGUUUGCAGAAAAGUUAUUUGAAACUGUAAAUUCAGAUUCUUUCAAGGUUCCAUUUUCAGAUCUUUACAGCCUUGCCCUGGUAUUUUCUUUCUGCAUGCUGCUUGAUGUCCUAAUCAAGUACUCGAGAGAUAAAAUCUAAAUGAACGUAUCAAGGUGAGAAGAUAGUACCUGCCAUAGAAGAAGGCCACAUGAGUUAGUGUUGAUGCAAUGGUGGCAAAACCAAAGCCGUAGGAGAGAGCAAAAAACAUGCUUAAAUGAAUUUGGCCUUGCUCCUCGUACUUUGGGAUGUCCAACUCGAACUUGUCAUUUACGAUUGCCGUUAUAUUGUAUCUUUCACCUUGCGCCGUGAACAAGUGCGAGGAAAAAAUAGCAAAUCUAUUUGCACUAUACACGUUAAACCCCCAAUAGGCUAUGGGGAUUACAACAUAGAUUAUUAAUGUGUAUCCCACGAAAACAUUGACUAUGGCAAAAAAGGGGCAGAUUAGAGGGCUGAACAGGAAGGAUGCCACUGCUGCCCAGUCGAGCGUCAAGGCUCCAAGUCCAAGGCCUCGCAUACCCGAGCCAAUCUGCUGGGCGGUGAUUGAGUUGGAGAAUGCCCAGCAGAUCCAUGAUAUAUUUGUGAGCGUGGAAAAGAGGUAUCCGGGGACAACAUACCAUGAGAAGCUGCAGAUCAGCGCAAUGAGGAAGAAUUUUGCCCGCGACAUGCGCUGUUCAUCCCUCUCAUGUAAAGCCCUGCAUCAAUUUAAAUAGAAUGACCUACUUCAGGUCAUGCACUAAUUGUCUACAUGAAAUGAAGUGCAAACUGUGGAUACUUUGGGACAGUUCUGAAAUUAUCAUAUUAUUUUGUGAAUGCAUCUGUCGAUUGACAAGAA